rnacentral:rRNA from 1 species
CCUACGGGUGGCAGCAGUGAGGAAUAUUGGUCAAUGGCCGGAAGGCUGAACCAGCCAUGCCGCGUGAAGGUCAGUGCCCUAUGGGCGUUAAACUUCUUUUGUGCGGGAGCAAUAAUGGUCACGUGUGGCCAGACGAGAGUACCGUACGAAUAAGCAUCGGCUAACUCCGUGCCAGCAGCCGCGGUAAUACGGGGGAUGCAAGCGUUAUCCGGCUUUAUUGGGUUUAAAGGGUGGGGCGGCUGGGAGGUAAGACAGCGGUGAAAUGCCCCCGCUCAACGGGGUGAAGUGCCAUUGAUACUGCCGUGCUGGAAUGCGGAUGCCGUGGGAGGAAUGUGUGGUGUAGCGGUGAAAUGCAUAGAUAUCACACAGAACACCGAUUGCGAAGGCAUCUCACGAAUCCGCGAUUGACGCUGAUGCACGAAAGCGUGGGUAUCAAACAGGAUUAGUACCCCAGUAGUC